CCUACGGGUGGCUGCAGUGGGGAAUAUUGCACAAUGGGCGCAAGCCUGAUGCAGCCAUGCCGCGUGUGUGAAGAAGGCCUUCGGGUUGUAAAGCACUUUCAGCGGGGAGGAAGGCGGUGAGGUUAAUAACCUCAUCGAUUGACGUUACCCGCAGAAGAAGCACCGGCUAACUCCGUGCCAGCAGCCGCGGUAAUACGGAGGGUGCAAGCGUUAAUCGGAAUUGCUGGGCGUAAAGCGCACGCAGGCGGUCUGUCAAGUCGGAUGUGAAAUCCCCGGGCUCAACCUGGGAACUGCAUUCGAAACUGGCAGGCUAGAGUCUUGUAGAGGGGGGUAGAAUUCCAGGUGUAGCGGUGAAAUGCGUAGAGAUCUGGAGGAAUACCGGUGGCGAAGGCGGCCCCCUGGACAAAGACUGACGCUCAGGUGCGAAAGCGUGGGGAGCAAACAGGAUUAGAUACCCGAGUAGUC
rnacentral:rRNA from 1 species